CAGUCGAGCGGACAGAUGGGAGCUUGCUCCCUGAAGUCAGCGGCGGACGGGUGAGUAACACGUGGGCAACCUGCCUGUAAGACUGGGAUAACUUCGGGAAACCGGAGCUAAUACCGGAUAAUGCUUUUGGACUCAUGUCCUUAAGCUGAAAGAUGGUUUCGGCUAUCACUUACAGAUGGGCCCGCGGCGCAUUAGCUAGUUGGUGAGGUAACGGCUCACCAAGGCAACGAUGCGUAGCCGACCUGAGAGGGUGAUCGGCCACACUGGGACUGAGACACGGCCCAGACUCCUACGGGAGGCAGCAGUAGGGAAUCUUCCGCAAUGGACGAAAGUCUGACGGAGCAACGCCGCGUGAGUGAUGAAGGUUUUCGGAUCGUAAAACUCUGUUGUUAGGGAAGAACAAGUAUCGGAGUAACUGCCGGUACCUUGACGGUACCUAACCAGAAAGCCACGGCUAACUACGUGCCAGCAGCCGCGGUAAUACGUAGGUGGCAAGCGUUGUCCGGAAUUAUUGGGCGUAAAGCGCGCGCAGGCGGUCCUUUAAGUCUGAUGUGAAAGCCCACGGCUCAACCGUGGAGGGUCAUUGGAAA
rnacentral:rRNA from 2 species